GUAAAACAGUUAUUUCGGACUACGCUAUUAGUCUAAGUCCUUUAAUGGGCUACGUUAUUGGGGUCAAGACACCUACGGAUACUCCUCAAGUCUGUAGCUCUGUC
rnacentral:sRNA from 14 species